UUUUCCUCACAAUCAAAAUAU
rnacentral:piRNA from 1 species